UGGGCCGUCGCCAAGCGGUAAGGCACAGGACUUUGACUCCUGCAUCCCGCGGGUUCGAAUCCCGCCGGUCCAG
rfam:Clostridium sp. CAG:253 genomic scaffold, scf264